GAUGAACGCUAGCGGGAGGCCUAACACAUGCAAGCCGGGCGGUAUUGUUUCUUCGGAAAUGAGAGAGCGGCGUACGGGUGCGUAACACGUGUGCAACCUGCCUUUAUCUGGGGGAUAGCCUUUCGAAAGGAAGAUUAAUACUCCAUAAUAUAUUGAACGGCAUCGUUUAAUAUUGAAAGCUCCGGCGGAUAGAGAUGGGCACGCGCAAGAUUAGCUAGUUGGUGAGGUAACGGCUCACCAAGGCGAUGAUCUUUAGGGGGCCUGAGAGGGUGAUCCCCCACACUGGUACUGAGACACGGACCAGACUCCUACGGGAGGCAGCAGUGAGGAAUAUUGGUCAAUGGGUGCAAGCCUGAACCAGCCAUCCCGCGUGAAGGACGACUGCCCUAUGGGUUGUAAACUUCUUUUGUAUAGGGAUAAACCUACCCUCGAGAGGGUAGCUGAAGGUACUAUACGAAUAAGCACCGGCUAACUCCGUG
rnacentral:rRNA from 1 species